UGCCCAAAAGUUCAGCCCAUUAUACACAUCCUUUUGGCUUCCGGAUGGUAGGAUUUGAGGUUAGGUCAGGGAUAAAGAAUUAUUUUGAACUCUACAAGCGUGUACUUUUUACCCUAAAAAAAAUCUACUGUAGGAGCUAUUGUUGCACACAAACACAAGGGUAGUGGUUAUAUGGUCAGGUAAUACGGAGGGUUUUAGAUCCAGCUUGAAUACAUUUGAUCCAAUUAUAAGGUAUUUUAGUAGUCUUCAAACUUUGUGGUGAAGUGGGUGAAUUUACAGGAUGUAUUUUAUUUUCUCAUCUAUAAUUAUGGGAAGAGGAAAUUAAAAAGUCCGAAGGUAAAAAUAAAACCCAGUGCAAUAAGAUGUGGAAGAAGAGCAAAUGUCAUGUAUAUCAUUUGCUAGAAUUCCUAGUUUCAAAUUGGCCUGUUCCUCAGAGGUCUUUUUUAUUCAGUGUUGUUGUUUAUGUAGAGCAUGUUGUGACAGUGAUCAUUUACCCACUUAUAUGUGGUGAUACAUGACAUAACUAUGCAUGCAGAUACCAGUAACCAAAAAUACCUAAUCCAUAAAGUGACACUCAACACAUGGGAAAGUAUUGUUGUGCUUUGUUUUCCCAAUGUUUCAUUUAUUAUUAAUUAUUAACAUAAUGGAGUGUUAACACUAGCUAGAUGGUGCUAGAAAUGCACAUUGUUAAUUCACAGGCAGACUUGAGACACAUCAUAUAGUGUGAAUGUAAAUUGUUGAAAAGAAGUCAGAUAUUGACAUUGCAGUUUGGAUAAGUAAAGAGUAGGAUUUGCCGUAUGGACUCCUUUCCUAGCAUCAUCUGGGCUAACAAUAAGGGAAUAUAAUGUGGCCUUCAUAGAGCUGUGAUAUUUAAAAAACUAUUUAAGGGCUUUGGAAACAAAAACAACCAGAUUCAUUUUCUGGUUUUGCCACUUACUGUGACUUUGGGCGAAAAAAUAUAACCACUGUGAGCCUCAAUUUUCUCAUCUGUUAAAUGGGGAUAAUACAAGUACCUCACAGGAUAUGUGGAGGUUUCAAAUGUAAAAUAAUGUAUAAGAGAGAAAUUAUAUAAAAUAGUGCCUGCCAUAUAAUUUGUGCUAUACAAAUCAUAGUUGCUAUCAUCCCUUAUUUACUUGCUCCCUAUUUGGUUGCAAAACAGGAUUAUAAUGAUUUUUUGAAUUGCCCAGCUAUUCAGCUAUCAAUUUCUCAGCAAUUCGCUGUCCCACUUUCAAACCCAGUGAACUGAGAGGAAAGUUAUCUGAUAUAGUUUAACUUCUUGGAUUAAUGGAAAUGCUAACAGAAGACAUUAAAUAUAUGAACAAAAAUAUUUGGGGAAAGGCUUUUUCAAAUAGGCCAGUUAUCAGAUUCCUGCAUAGACUACUUACCUUGGGUGUAUUUUUAAUUCUGGGUUAUUUUCUUUUACAAUAGAUUUUAUUUUUUCAUAGUAGAUUUUAUUUUUCAUUGAUGACCAAAGUAUGUUCCUGCUUCUGCAUUGUCCUCAGCUGACAGUUGUGAGAUUAAGGAAAUGGCAGGGAAUUUACAAAUGAAAUCACCAACCUGAUUCUUCUGAACUGUCCCUGCUAUCUAGGCAUUACAGGCAAUGCUUUACCUUGAUUUAUGCCUCUGCCCUUGGGAUGGGUGCUAUUAUCCCUUCUGUUUUUCCAGUGAGGAAACUGAGGCAUAGGACAAGUAUGUGCCAGAACCCAAAAGCCUGAUUCUGAAAUCCAUGUUCUGUAACUCUUCAUAGCUUGGCUGUAUUUAUUUUGUCAGUGUUUAUUUUUGUUUUUCACAUUUUGGGAGUAUAACAGAAAGCCAAAUGAGUCUCAGUUAUAUUUAAUUAAAUUGUCAGAAGUUGAUCUUUGAAUCCUUUUGGAGGUUAACUAUUUUGAAUUAAGUGGUAUUUGAGUAUUUUGCCACACUACUUGGAGAAAAAUCUACAGCCAGUAUUAAAUUAAAAUACCUAUGUAUAAUAGUUAUUUUUAUUCCAGAACUAUUUUUUUAAAAAUCAACUGUAUUCUUGAAUAAACUAGUUUAGUUAAACAUGAAAUGUGGGGUUUUUUUUGUUCACCAAAUAAAAAUGUACUUAGGCAGUCAGUAAGGAAAGCUUUAUUUUACUCUGGCUUCUCUCUUUAUCUUCCUUUUCCUGUUUUAUUUUUUUCAUUGACUGGAAAAGAUUUAUUUCCCUGCUUGAUGUGAUUAAACAUGUUUUGCCAAAUUGAUGCAUGAGAACCAGUUUCUAUGAGAACUCUCUUCUGGAGAUGUAUAUCCAUGUAACUCUGUAUUUCCUCCCAUAUCUGACUGUUUGUUUCCAAUCUUUUGACUGCUUUCUUGCUUUUUAUGCCUUUAUCUUUGCUUAUUUGAAUUAGGUACUUCUCUGCUACCUUUCACCUGCUCUUUUUCUGUGCCAUUGUUUCCCUUGCUACCUUACCUAAAACCAGGCCCUAGAGAAACAGAAAGAAUACAUUGCCUGCCUUAGCAAUGAGCGAGAUAUGCUCAGAGAGGAGCUGGCUGACCUGCAGGAGACAGUGAAGACGGGAGAGGUAUGUUAGCAUUAGCCUGGAAUUCAGGUCCCUCACUGUUUUACUCUCUAUCUUCCUUCCUUUCAUCCUGCCAUCUUUCCUAGCCUAAAUACAAACUACAGUGUUUAUUCUCUAAUCCAGAUUUGGUAGGUUUAAGCUAUUUCUUACACAGAGCUAUAUUUCAUGUAACUGAUUCUAACCAGGUUUUACCUGUAGCAAACAUGUAUUGUUGCAGAGUGACCUCACAGAGCUUCCUGCUUCCAUAUGGGCCUUUUGUGAUGGUGAGUUUUUCCCCCCUGCAGAAACAUGGCUUAGUUAUAAUCCCCGAUGGCACUCCCAAUGGUGAUGUCAGUCAUGAACCAGUGGCUGGAGCCAUCACUGUUGUGUCUCAGGAAGCUGCUCAGGUCUUGGAGUCAGCAGGAGAAGGGCCAUUAGAUGUAAGGCUACGAAAACUUGCUGGAGAGAAGGAAGAACUACUGUCACAGAUUAGAAAACUGAAGCUUCAGUUAGAGGAGGAACGACAGAAAUGCUCCAGGAAUGAUGGCACAGUGGGUGACCUGGCAGGACUGCAGAAUGGCUCAGACUUGCAGUUCAUCGAAAUGCAGAGAGAUGCCAAUAGACAAAUUAGCGAAUACAAAUUUAAGCUUUCAAAAGCAGAACAGGAUAUAACUACCUUGGAGCAAAGUAUUAGCCGGCUUGAGGGACAGGUUCUGAGAUAUAAAACUGCUGCUGAGAAUGCUGAGAAAGUUGAAGAUGAAUUGAAAGCAGAAAAACGGAAGCUACAACGAGAGUUACGAACAGCACUGGACAAGAUUGAGGAGAUGGAGAUGACCAACAGCCACCUGGCCAAGCGGCUGGAGAAGAUGAAGGCCAAUAGGACAGCACUUCUGGCCCAGCAGUAGGAAAACCACCCUUCAACCUGGGUGAUGCUCCUUGGGGCCCUACCUAGAGGGACUGACUUUUGUCCAUUGACACAAACCCCUUUUAGUACUGUUUUGAGUUUUGUCAUUAAAACAGCCACCUUUGUAUUUUAUAAUUUAUGAGAGAAUGAAGUCAUUUUGAAUCU
rnacentral:sRNA from 1 species